rnacentral:rRNA from 1 species
UACGGAGGAUCCGAGCGUUAUCCGGAUUUAUUGGGUUUAAAGGGUGCUCAGGCGGGCCAUUAAGUCGGCGGUGAAAUUUUGCGGCUCAACCGUAAAAGUGCCUUCGAUACUGGUGGUCUUGAGUGUGGAUGAGGUAGGCGGAAUUUGUGGUGUAGCGGUGAAAUGCGUAGAUAUCACGAGGAACUCCGAUUGCUAAGGCAGCUUACUAAGCCAUAACUGACGCUCAAGCACGAAGGCGUGGGGAUCAAACAGGAUUAGAUACCCGGGUAGUCCCUGA